GCCAGACUCCUACGGGAGGCAGCAGUGGGGAAUAUUGCACAAUGGGGGGAACCCUGAUGCAGCGACGCCGCGUGAGUGAAGAAGUAUUUCGGUAUGUAAAGCUCUAUCAGCAGGGAAGAAAAUGACGGUACCUGACUAAGAAGCCCCGGCUAACUACGUGCCAGCAGCCGCGGUAAUACGUAGGGGGCAAGCGUUAUCCGGAUUUACUGGGUGUAAAGGGAGCGUAGACGGUCCUGCAAGCCAGAUGUGAAAGCCCGGGGCUCAACCCCGGGACUGCAUUUGGAACUGUAAGGCUAGAGUGUCGGAGAGGCAGGCGGAAUUCCUAGUGUAGCGGUGAAAUGCGUAAAUAUUAGGAGGAACACCAGUGGCGAAGGCGGCUUACUGGGCUUUAACUGACGCUGAGGCUCGAAAGCGUGGGUAGCAAACAGGAUUAGAUACCCGGGUA
rnacentral:rRNA from 1 species